AAAAAGUUCAACAUCCCAACCUUGGACUUGAAAGUGUUUGAUGACUCAAAGACAGAAGUUGAUGAGCAGGUUUUUGAUCUCCUGUUGAAAAACCCAAACCUUGGUGCGUUGGAAAUUUGUCUGGCCGAAGAUUCAAAUCCAGAAGGAUAGUGUGGGGAACAAAACACGGGCAAAUAAGUGAGUUUUUUAUCCUAUUGCUGUCUUAGACAAGAUAAUAAAUCUGCCAAACUGUUAAGUCGGUCAGUAUUUAAAAAAUCUUUGUUUUUACUUUUUUUGUUUUUGCUAUCAUACUAAUUUAAAUAUUACAGUAACUGAAAGCUUUAAUACUUUGACAGAUCAGCCGAGUUGUCCUGCGAAGAGCUGCAAUACCAGUUCAAGUGGAGAUACUGAAGUGGACUCAGAUGACACAAUACUAUUACAACACAGUCCUACAACAAGACGAAGAGUUGAAGACGCCUCUCUGGCCAAAGUGGUUGCUGUCAUUGGUGAGGAUGCAUCAUCCGUUGAAGGUCAUGUGAAUGUCCUGCAUAUCCAGUACAGCAAGGUGCGAGAGGAUAUACUAAAGAAGUACCCUUUCUUGAAGACAACCUCAGGGUUGUUUGAUGUUGACCGAAUGCAUCCAUCACCUGUCAGUUUAAGCCAGC